ensembl:lncRNA
GUGCUCCAGCCCUCUGACCAUCUUAGUGGCCCUCCUCUGGACCCACUCCAAAAACUUCCCGUCUUGCGGAGAAGAGAGAAUAAAGGUAAGGCAGACGCUGAGAAGGACAAGAGCAAAAGCUCUUGAAGAACAGGCACAGGUAAGAAAGAAGAGCAGAAGAGGAGGAGGAGAAAAAGAGAGGAUGAAGGUAAGAAAAACAAGCGGGCAGGGAGAAGAGCUGAAGAAGGGAUGAGUGGGUGCAGGUAAGACAGAACAGCAGAAGUGGAGAGGAGCUGAAGAGGAGAAGUAUGAAAAGUAGAGCAAAAGUACAGGAGGUGGAAAGAGAGGAAAGAGGCAAGAGAGAAGAGAGGAAGAGCAGAGAAAGAACAGAGCAGUAGAGAAGAGCGGACAGUGCUAUGAAAAGAAGAACAGUGCCAGAGAGCAGGUGAAGAAGAAAGGAAGAGCAGAAGAGGAGUGUAUAUGAAGAAGAGGUGUGAGCGCACAAGGAAGAAAGAUCAGAAGAGAAGAGGAGUGCGGUAAGAAGAAGGAGGAGAGAAGAUACGGGAAAAAGAACAGCAGAAGGGUGCAGAUGCAGAAGAUGAGAGAUGACACAGGGAACAACAAGGAGCAGAAGAGGAGAGCAGUCAGAAGAAAGACAAGUGAGAAUACGGGGGACAAAGCAAAGCAGAGAGGAGUGCAGAGGCAGAAGAAAGAGGAGAGAGGAUACAGAGAAGAAAGAGCAGUAGAAGAGGAGUGCAGAUGCAGAAUAAAGACAAGUCUGGCAACAGGAAACAAAAUCCAACAGAAGAGCAGUGCUGAUGCAGAGGGAAAAGGAGUGAGGAUGAUGCAGGGGAAUAAGAACAGGAGAAGAGUGAGAAUGCAGAGGAAAGAGCAGGGAGGAUAGAAAAGAAGGGAGAGCCUAAGAGGUGGGCAGAUGGAAAAAGAGUGCGGGAAGAAAGAAGAGCAGAAGAGUAGAGCCAAUGCAGAAGAAAGAGGAGUGAGGAAGCAGGGAAACAUACAGCAGAAGAGAAAAGCAGAUGCAGGUGAAAGAGCAGUGGUGAGAUGCAAUGGAAACCAUCAGAAGAGUGAGGAUACAAGGAGGAAAGAACAGCAGAAGAGGAGCACAGCUGCACGAGAAUGAGCAGUGAGAAUACAGGGAAGAAAGAGGAGGAGGAGAGCCGAUGCAGAAGAAAAGAGACGUCACGUUACAGGGAAGAAAAGCAGGGCAGACGAAGUACGGAGAGGAAGCAGGGGAAAAAAACGCUGAAGAGCAAGGAUAGAGAUGAAAGAGCAGUGAGGAUACACAGAGGAUAGAACAGCAGAAGAGAAGCAGAAGAGAAAAAACAGGAAAAGAGUGAGAAUGCAGACGGAAAAGCAGGGAGAAUACAGGGAAGAACCAAGAGCCUAAGAGAAGUGCAAAUGCAAAAGCAAGCGAGGCUACAGGGAAGAAAGGACAGCAGAAGGGGAGUGCAGGUGCAGAUCCCCCAAACACAGCACUCCCUGCCCGCUAGGGUUGCGGGUGCGACGCAGUCACCACAAUGACGUCGAGGAUCAAUGCCGGGUAAUUCAGUGAGCGUUCCAACAAAGAAUCAAGGAAAAAACUGCCAGGCAAAACUAAGAAACCUUCUGGCAACAGGUCUUCAACGUUACGCGUAGAGUCCUUUGGAACAGGAGUUGUUUCUGUGUCAACAACUUGAAGAUCAAUUCAGGCAACGGCUACUAAAGAAAAACGAGUCACAUAACAUGGAGAGCAAAGAAGAGAAGAGAGAGGAAACAGAGAGGUGCCAGCACUGCCACCCGGGGUGGGCAGCAGGCUGCUGGUGCCAGCGUCAUCAUGGGCGGCGGCCAGCACUGGCCACGCUGUCACCGCGUCGCCGUGGCGACGUUUGUGACACGGCCACCCGGGAGGGGUAUGAAGGCGGUGCACGCUGGUGGGUCCUGCAUCCUGAAGGAGCAUCUGGUAGAGAGCAGACGCACCUGAAGGGAUGAGCUCCGGCAUGGCUGGCGCCAACAAGGAGCAACCCGCUGGCACGAGGCGGAACAGGAUGAGCUUCUGCGAGGAUGGCCCCGCAGCGAGGCGUGCCUCCAUACCCACCUGCACCGACACCGAAGAGCGAGUUGCCGUCUGGGAUGCGGUGGCCGCCUACGUACAAGAGCACCUCCUGGUGCAGAAGGUGGGUUGGCUGCCGGGUUCCUCCUCUCCCUGUCCUCCUCAGCCAAGACUUCCUCCCACUCUUCCCCUCCACAGAAAGCAGGAAACUCACCCCACGUGUCUCUACUGGGCAUGCCAUGGGCUUCCUGCAAAUCCCGCAGGAUCACUUGUGCUGGGCGCUGUCCUGUCUCAGGGCUGAUCCCGCUCGCGGGAAGCCUCUGGAUCCCAUCAGGCUGCUUCUGCCCUGACUGCUGUGCUGCAUUUGGGAGGGCGAGGGGAAGGAGAGGACUGUGCAGCCCCUUCCCAAAGCCAUUCCCGAUGCCCUGGCUCGUGCCUCUGAACAGCGGGAGAGGGCUCCUGAGCUCCGUCCCUGCCUUGGACCGCUACAUGGGCUCUUCCUCCAGCCAGCCAGCCCAUAACCCUGCCACCCUUCCUUUCUCUACCACUUGUAGGGGGUCUGGAUUCCCACCUUCGGAUCCUUUGACACCAUCUCCAGAGACAUCAGGACUGAGGACGGGACCGUGACUCUGCGGUGGCCCGUCUUUCACUUGUCUGGAAACCUCAUAGCCGUGCACCACCUCAAGCCCCGCAGGGAGUCCCUGCCAGGUAGGAGGGAGGAUUAAAGCUUUGCUGGCUUCACGCACAGGGCCAACAGGGCCACCGCCUCCAUUCUCCAAAGCAAACCUCCCCCUCGGAGGAGCCCAGC